rfam:Clostridium botulinum A str. ATCC 3502 complete genome
AAGUAUAUAAAUAAAGGUGGUGCAGUAUUCUAGUCAGGUAAGUAUAUCUUGAAGGCGGGGCUAAAAAUCCGCUAAAGGGCACAUCGAUGAAGCUUCUGGUGCUGGCUUACGACGCCCAGUUGUGGGCUGGUGCUGGGAGAAAGAAGGCUGGGGCAAUCACAAAGGCAUGUGGCAACUGACCCUACCUUCGUGGAGGCCAUUGAUUGUGUAUAGGGAGAGAUUCCCUAUGGACGACAAUGGAUUAAACCUGCAAUGUGGCGAGCAGCUAUGUGCAGUGUAGCCUGCCUUGAGUGGUGGGGGGAGAGGUUAAGUUUAAAUCUAAAGGUUAGGCCAAACCUUUAGGCUAUUGCUUGCUGAAACCUCCAUUGCAAAAGAGGCUAGAGAUAUACCCAACUGCCGAGGAAAUCUCCUAGACUGUUCUAUACGAGGUAUAUUGGGGAUUACAGUGCGGACUAAGUGGCAAUCCAGUCCUAUUUCUGGUGACAGGGUAGGUAAAGCAUUAAAGGGAAACCGUCAAAAUGGCGACAUUUUGAUUGUUUUACGGGAAAUCCUACUGGACCUAAGCCGCAAGGUUUACUCAAUACACUACCACCUUUUAAAAUUACAUA